rnacentral:rRNA from 1 species
GGACUACACGGGUAUCUAAUCCUGUUUGCUCCCCACACUUUCGCGCCUCAGCGUCAGUUACAGUCCAGUUAGCCGCCUUCGCCACUGGUGUUCCUCCCGAUCUCUACGCAUUUCACCGCUACACCGGGAAUUCCGCUAACCUCUCCUGCACUCAAGCCCUACAGUUUCCAAAGCUAUUCCCACCUUAAAAGCGGGACUUUCACUCCAGACUUACAAGGCCGCCUACGCGCCCUUUACGCCCAAUCAUUCCGGACAACGCUUGCCCCCUACGUAUUACCGCGGCGGCUGGCAC